rnacentral:rRNA from 1 species
UACGAAGGGGGCUAGCGUUGUUCGGAAUUACUGGGCGUAAAGGGCGCGUAGGCGGACUGUUAAGUCAGGGGUGAAAUCCCGGGGCUCAACCCCGGAACUGCCUUUGAUACUGGCGGUCUUGAGUUCGGGAGAGGUGAGUGGAAUUCCGAGUGUAGAGGUGAAAUUCGUAGAUAUUCGGAGGAACACCAGUGGCGAAGGCGGCUCACUGGCCCGAUACUGACGCUGAGGCGCGAAAGCGUGGGGAGCAAACAGG